rnacentral:rRNA from 1 species
UACGAAGGUUUCGAGCGUUAUCCGGAUUUAUUGGGUUUAAAGGGUGCGUAGGUGGACUAAUAAGUCAGUGGUGAAAGCCCGGAGCUCAACUCCGGAACUGCCAUUGAUACUGUUAGUCUUGAGUACAGUUGAGGUGGGCGGAAUGUGUCAUGUAGCGGUGAAAUGCUUAGAUAUGACACAGAACACCGAUUGCGAAGGCAGCUCACGAAGCUGUAACUGACACUGAGGCACGAAAGCGUGGGGAGCAAACAGG